rnacentral:rRNA from 1 species
GGGUUGUGAGGUUAAGCGACUAAGCGUACACGGUGGAUGCCCUGGCAGUCAGAGGCGAUGAAGGACGUGCUAAUCUGCGAUAAGCGUCGGUAAGGUGAUAUGAACCGUUAUAACCGGCGAUUUCCGAAUGGGGAAACCCAGUGUGAUUCGUCACACUAUCAUUAACUGAAUCCAUAGGUUAAUGAGGCGAACCGGGGGAACUGAAACAUCUAAGUACCCCGAGGAAAAGAAAUCAACCGAGAUUCCCCCAGUAGCGGCGAGCGAACGGGGAGCAGCCCAGAGCCUGAAUCAGUGUGUGUGUUAGUGGAAGCGUCUGGAAAGGCGCGCGAUACAGGGUGACAGCCCCGUACACAAAAAUGCACAUGCUGUGAGCUCGAUGAGUAGGGCGGGACACGUGGUAUCCUGUCUGAAUAUGGGGGGACCAUCCUCCAAGGCUAAAUACUCCUGACUGACCGAUAGUGAACCAGUACCGUGAGGGAAAGGCGAAAAGAACCCCGGCGAGGGGAGUGAAAAAGAACCUGAAACCGUGUACGUACAAGCAGUGGGAGCACAGAGCAAUCUGUGUGACUGCGUACCUUUUGUAUAAUGGGUCAGCGACUUAUAUUCUGUAGCAAGGUUAACCGAAUAGGGGAGCCGAAGGGAAACCGAGUCUUAACUGGGCGUUAAGUUGCAGGGUAUAGACCCGAAACCCGGUGAUCUAGCCAUGGGCAGGUUGAAGGUUGGGUAACACUAACUGGAGGACCGAACCGACUAAUGUUGAAAAAUUAGCGGAUGACUUGUGGCUGGGGGUGAAAGGCCAAUCAAACCGGGAGAUAGCUGGUUCUCCCCGAAAGCUAUUUAGGUAGCGCCUCGUGAAUUCAUCUCCGGGGGUAGAGCACUGUUUCGGCAAGGGGGUCAUCCCGACUUACCAACCCGAUGCAAACUGCGAAUACCGGAGAAUGUUAUCACGGGAGACACACGGCGGGUGCUAACGUCCGUCGUGAAGAGGGAAACAACCCAGACCGCCAGCUAAGGUCCCAAAGUCAUGGUUAAGUGGGAAACGAUGUGGGAAGGCCCAGACAGCCAGGAUGUUGGCUUAGAAGCAGCCAUCAUUUAAAGAAAGCGUAAUAGCUCACUGGUCGAGUCGGCCUGCGCGGAAGAUGUAACGGGGCUAAACCAUGCACCGAAGCUGCGGCAGCGACACUAUGUGUUGUUGGGUAGGGGAGCGUUCUGUAAGCCUGUGAAGGUGUACUGUGAGGUAUGCUGGAGGUAUCAGAAGUGCGAAUGCUGACAUAAGUAACGAUAAAGCGGGUGAAAAGCCCGCUCGCCGGAAGACCAAGGGUUCCUGUCCAACGUUAAUCGGGGCAGGGUGAGUCGACCCCUAAGGCGAGGCCGAAAGGCGUAGUCGAUGGGAAACAGGUUAAUAUUCCUGUACUUGGUGUUACUGCGAAGGGGGGACGGAGAAGGCUAUGUUGGCCGGGCGACGGUUGUCCCGGUUUAAGCGUGUAGGCUGGUUUUCCAGGCAAAUCCGGAAAAUCAAGGCUGAGGCGUGAUGACGAGGCACUACGGUGCUGAAGCAACAAAUGCCCUGCUUCCAGGAAAAGCCUCUAAGCAUCAGGUAACAUCAAAUCGUACCCCAAACCGACACAGGUGGUCAGGUAGAGAAUACCAAGGCGCUUGAGAGAACUCGGGUGAAGGAACUAGGCAAAAUGGUGCCGUAACUUCGGGAGAAGGCACGCUGAUAUGUAGGUGAAGUCCCUCGCGGAUGGAGCUGAAAUCAGUCGAAGAUACCAGCUGGCUGCAACUGUUUAUUAAAAACACAGCACUGUGCAAACACGAAAGUGGACGUAUACGGUGUGACGCCUGCCCGGUGCCGGAAGGUUAAUUGAUGGGGUCAGCGCAAGCGAAGCUCUUGAUCGAAGCCCCGGUAAACGGCGGCCGUAACUAUAACGGUCCUAAGGUAGCGAAAUUCCUUGUCGGGUAAGUUCCGACCUGCACGAAUGGCGUAAUGAUGGCCAGGCUGUCUCCACCCGAGACUCAGUGAAAUUGAACUCGCUGUGAAGAUGCAGUGUACCCGCGGCAAGACGGAAAGACCCCGUGAACCUUUACUAUAGCUUGACACUGAACAUUGAGCCUUGAUGUGUAGGAUAGGUGGGAGGCUUUGAAGUGUGGACGCCAGUCUGCAUGGAGCCGACCUUGAAAUACCACCCUUUAAUGUUUGAUGUUCUAACGUUGACCCGUGAUCCGGGUUGCGGACAGUGUCUGGUGGGUAGUUUGACUGGGGCGGUCUCCUCCUAAAGAGUAACGGAGGAGCACGAAGGUUGGCUAAUCCUGGUCGGACAUCAGGAGGUUAGUGCAAUGGCAUAAGCCAGCUUGACUGCGAGCGUGACGGCGCGAGCAGGUGCGAAAGCAGGUCAUAGUGAUCCGGUGGUUCUGAAUGGAAGGGCCAUCGCUCAACGGAUAAAAGGUACUCCGGGGAUAACAGGCUGAUACCGCCCAAGAGUUCAUAUCGACGGCGGUGUUUGGCACCUCGAUGUCGGCUCAUCACAUCCUGGGGCUGAAGUAGGUCCCAAGGGUAUGGCUGUUCGCCAUUUAAAGUGGUACGCGAGCUGGGUUUAGAACGUCGUGAGACAGUUCGGUCCCUAUCUGCCGUGGGCGCUGGAGAACUGAGGGGGGCUGCUCCUAGUACGAGAGGACCGGAGUGGACGCAUCACUGGUGUUCGGGUUGUCAUGCCAAUGGCACUGCCCGGUAGCUAAAUGCGGAAGAGAUAAGUGCUGAAAGCAUCUAAGCACGAAACUUGCCCCGAGAUGAGUUCUCCCUGACCCUUUAAGGGUCCUGAAGGAACGUUGAAGACGACGACGUUGAUAGGCCGGGUGUGUAAGCGCAGCGAUGCGUUGAGCUAACCGGUACUAAUGAACCGUGAGGCUUAACCUUACAACGCCGAAG